rnacentral:rRNA from 1 species
CCUACGGGAGGCAGCAGUAAGGAAUAUUGGUCAAUGGGCGCAAGCCUGAACCAGCCAUGCCGCGUGCAGGAUGACGGCCCUCUGGGUUGUAAACUGCUUUUAUACGGGAAGAACAGCAUCUACGUGUAGGUGUUUGACGGUACUGUAAGAAUAAGGACCGGCUAACUUCGUGCCAGCAGCCGCGGUAAUACGAAGGGUCCAAGCGUUAUCCGGAUUUAUUGGGUUUAAAGGGUGCGUAGGCGGCUUUUUAAGUCAGUGGUGAAAGCCUGAUGCUCAACAUCAGAACUGCCAUUGAUACUGAAGAGCUUGAGUACAGUUGAGGUUGGCGGAAUGUGUCAUGUAGCGGUGAAAUGCUUAGAUAUGACACAGAACACCGAUUGCGAAGGCAGCUAGCUAAGCUGUUACUGACGCUGAUGCACGAAAGCGUGGGGAGCAAACAGGAUUAGAUACCCUGGUAGUCCACGCCCUAAACGUUGAUAACUCGUUGUUAGCGAUAUACUGUUAGCGACCAAGCGAAAGCAUUAAAGUUAUCCAACCUGGGAAGUUACGGUUGCAAGAUUGAAACUUCAAANAGAUUAGAGNGNGAGAGNGCGACGGACGACACGAGGGAGGAGG